AAAAGAAUAAAUUUUUCCGUAGACAGUAGGUGCGAAAGCAUAAAAGGAUAACUACCUACCGAGGUAUAUAAUAAUUAGUUAUUAUAGAUCUUCCUGUCUGCGGGAAGAUCUUUUUAAAUAAA
rnacentral:sRNA from 1 species